AUUGAACGCUGGCGGCAUGCGUAACACAUGCAAGUCGAACGGUGUUUGGUGCUUGCACCAGACAUAGUGGCGGACGGGUGAGUAAUGCGUAGGAAUCUGUCUUAGAGAGGGGGACAAUCCGAGGAAACUUGGGCUAAAACCGCAUAUUCUCGAGAGAGGAAAGCAGGGGACCGAAACGGCCUUGUGGCUCUAAGGUGAGCCUACGUCGGAUUAGCUAGUUGGUAGGGUAAAGCCUACCAAGGCGAUGAUCUGUAGCUGGUCUGAGAGGACGGACAGCCACACUGGGACUGAGACACGGCCCAGACUCCUACGGGAGGCAGCAGUGGGGAAUAUUGGACAAUGGGGGGAACCCUGGAUCCAGCGAUGCCGCGUGUGUGAAGAA
rnacentral:rRNA from 1 species